rnacentral:rRNA from 1 species
GCAACCCUUACCUAAGAUGCCUUCAGCUAGUUAGUCACUCUAAUGGGACUGCCGGUGACAAACCGGAGGAAGGUGGGGAUGACGUCAAGUCCUCAUGGCCCUUAUGACCAGGGCUUCACACGUCAUACAAUGGUCGGUACAGAGGGUCGCGAAGCCGCGAGGUGGAGCCAAUCUCAUAAAACCGAUCGUAGUCCGGAUCGCACUCUGCAACUCGAGUGCGUGAAGUCGGAAUCGCUAGUAAUCGCAGAUCAGCAUGCUGCGGUGAAUACGUUCCCGGGUCUUGUACACACCGCCCGUCACACCAUGGGAGUGAGUUUCACCAGAAGUGGGUAGGCUAACCUCGUAAGGAGAGCCAGGCUUACCCAUGGGUGUUU